rnacentral:misc_RNA from 1 species
GAUGAAGAACGUAGCGAAAUGCGAUAAGUAAUGUGAAUUGCAGAAUUCAGUGAAUCAUCGAAUCUUUGAACGCACAUGGCGCCCGCCAGUAUUCUGGCGGGCAUGCCUGUCUGAGCGUCAUUUCAACCCUCAUGCCCCUAGGGCGUGGUGUUGGGGAUCGGCCAAAGCCCGCGAGGGACGGCCGGCCCCUAAAUCUAGUGGCGGACCCGUCGUGGCCUCCUCUGCGAAGUAGUGAUAUUCCGCAUCGGAGAGCGAUGAGCCCCUGCCGUUAAACCCCCAACUUUCCAAGGUUGACCUCAGAUCAGGUAGGAAUACCCGCUGAACUUAAGCAUAUCAAUAAGCGGAGGA